rfam:Nomascus leucogenys chromosome 14, whole genome shotgun sequence.
GCUGGGCAUGGUGGCUUGUGCCUGUAGUUCCAGCUACUUGGGAGGCAGAGGUAGGAAGAUUGCUUGAGUUCAGGAGCUCUGGGCUAUAGUGCACUAUGCCAAUCGGGUGUCUGCACUAAGUUCAGCAGCAAAUAUGGUGAACUCAUAGGAGUAGGGGACCACCAGGUUGCCUAAGGAGGGGUGAACUAGCCCAGGUUGGAAAUAGAGCAGGUCAAAAUUCCCAUGCUGAUCAGUAGUGGGAUCGCACCUAUGAAUAGCCACUGCACUCCAGCCUGUGCAACAUAGUGAGACCCUGUCUCUU